rnacentral:tRNA from 1 species
GCUCAGUUGGUUAAGUGUAUGACUCCUGAUCUCAACUCAGGUCUUUGUUUCAGGGUUGUGAAUUCAAGCCCCACAUUGGGCU